UGGAUUUUUGACAGCUUGAAUGCAACCCUCAGCAGUACAUGUUGUUUUUCAUAAAUGCCACAUGGUUACAGGAUGAAGGCAGCUGACACUGAAUUGGGUAACAGAUGCUCAGGACUAGUAUUCAUGGCUAUUGUGAACUUGGUUUCUGUGGGCAUUGUGAAGAAAUCAAUGGAUGGGAAGUUGACAUUUGGCAUACAGGCUUUAAACUGCUUUGUGAAAUGGAUAGCACUAAGGAAAGGUAUGGAAGACCUCGUGAAGUUACCAGCUCAGGCACCGUAUUGACAGAUGGAAUGCUUGUCAGGUGCUCAGCAACAUGCUGUAGGAAGAUUAAUGCUAGCCAGUCAGCUGCGACUUGGCUAUAAAGCUCAAGAAAAGACCAAAUGUAUUUUUUAAUGACUCAGUAAAGUUAUGUGCUCAAUGCAGAGCAGUGAUCAGAGAAGCAAACAAACUUUGUAUGUAGGUCACUCUGAAAAUGAAGGACAUGAGAGGAAAGCAGGCCUAUUUCUGUUGAAGAGAUGCAAGGAGCCCUGACUGGUGCCUUUGAGAAGCGUGCUUUGAAAAAGCCUAUCUGUUUUUCCUUUUACCUCCCCCAUAGCAUGCAGACAAAGCAUUUAAACAGAACUGUUGAAUUUUUGGACUUUUCUCUGAAGCGCUAUUGCUGGGCGCAGUGGGAGGAAGAGCCAUAGUGGCUCUGAAAGGACCACAGCCUGGUUUGAGUGUGGUCGUCCCUGUAUUUCAAAAUCCCAUCUGAAGCACAAGGGGAUGGUAUUUCUAUUAGUGUUGCAUACAAAUCUUUGUACCUACUUAAACUUCCCUGAAUUUAUUGCACAGAGCAAACAUUUAUUUACAGAAUCACAGGCUCAUAGCAGUUGGAAGGGAUCUCUAGGGAUCGUCGAGUCCAAUGCCGUGCUAAAGUAGGAUCCCUACAGUAGGUUGCACAGGAAAUUGUCCAGGUGGAUUUUUGAAUAUCUGCAGAGAAGUAGACUCCACAGCCUCUCUGGGCAGAUUGUUCCAGUGCUCUGUUGCUCUGACAAUAAAGAAGUUCUUCCUUGUGUUAGUAUUUAGUGAAUCCAUGUCCAACCCACUAGAUUUAUGGUUUUUGUUGCUGCCUUUUUUUGUUUUGAUUUAAAAAAAAAUAUAUAAAAGAUUUGUUACUUACAUACAUUAAGUAUAUUAUGUAUUUUGUAUGCAGCCCAAGAUAAUCCCUUGCCACUCAACCAAGUCAGAGGAUUGGACACCCAUGUCUUAGAGACAUUUACUUACCAGCCCAUUCAGUACUCUGCCAGUUCUUACUGAAAGACCUUAAUAUCAGAAAUUUUUAUCCUAAUACAAAACGUCUUUCUUUGAACAGGAUUUCCUUAAACUCCACAAGGUGUUUAUGUUUUCAGGUUGAUAGUAUUCAUUUUAUUAAAUUGGACUAAUGUCUCACAGUGUAUCAGGGCAGCAAGUUACAGAUGCUCAGUUUUUAAAAACAUAUCAAUAAGGAUUGCAGGUUGGCUCUGCUGUGUAGAAACUCACAUUAAUUUCCAAGUGCCAGCAUUUGAGUACAUUUGAUUUUUAAUUUUUGUAAGGAUUCUUUUAUAAAAAUGAUCUGUUCUCUCAUGCUAGAGUGAAAUGGAGGCCGAAGAUGGCACGUUUUAGAGACUUGAAGAAUAUGAUAUCUGACUUGAACUUGUCUCAACGCUGAGUUUGACAACAGUUUUACUCCUUGCAUGAUGUACAUGCUCACAGAUAUGGUAAGGGCACAUUACUGUCAGAGAGCUGUCAUCUGAUGCGUAGAAUUGCAGUCAGGGCAAGGAUUCCUUGCUGCUUAGGUUCUUGGAAGGCUUGAAACCCAUUAACAUUCCUAGAAUUGCAUGCAUCAUAAACCAUAGUAUAGCAAGAUUAGAAGUGAGAAAUACAUGAGUAUGUAUUUGUCACCAUUCCUUCAGUAUGUUAAGCUGCUGUUGCAAAGUAUGCCAAAGCAAUUAGGUACUAAUGCUCUCCACAAAUGUUUUUUUUUUUUUUUUUUUUUUUUGUAUUCUGAUGGGCAUAAGAUUCUCUGGUGACCACAAUUGCUCUAUCCUGCUUCUACUGUCCAAUAUUGAAAGAAUAGAAAGUAAAUGAAAGGGCUUGUUUGCAGCUUCUCCUGCUCAUAUGUGUUCUAGCUGCUCCCAGAGUCCCUGCAGUGCUAUUGCACAGAGUGCUGUUCUGACUUGCAUAAAAGGAAAAUGAGGAAGCUCAAAUAAAAACGUGCUAGAAGUUAUUAAUUUCUCGGUGUCAUAGAAUGGAAAGAGUCACUGUGUCACCUAAAAUUCUAGAGUGGUUGUGAUCAAGUAUGUCACUUGUAUUCGGUCACUACUCAAUACUAAGUAUAGAGAGAGCUGUCCUGAAUACAUUUGGAAAGUCACUGUCAAGUAGUGAUGAUGCUUUCUCAAGAAGCUUUCUGAAGAAGCUAGAUUCUCUGAGAGGGAACAAAAACUCCCUCCUUCAAUAAUGCUUUCUGAUACCUAGAAGAUCACUGUAAAAUAGAAAUGAAUAGCAUAUUUCCCCAUUUUGAUAGGAAAAUAAAUAAUUGCAAUAAGAUAAAUUCUGCUUUGUUCUGGCUAAUGCCUAAUUAGGGAUAACAUACAGCUGGGGAGCAUGAAGUCUUUGUCACUUUGGAUUUUAAUAACUGUUGUAAUUGGCACCUGUCAGGUGGAUCUGAUCAUGCUGUGGGGCAGGAGGAAGAGAAGCCCCUGGAGUCCUUGCAGUUAGUUUUUCUGUGAUUCUGUGAUUACCAGGUUUGUGAUCUCUUUGCAGUUGUUCACUCAACCUAUUUCUGAAGUAGAAUUCUGUGAUGAUUUAAAAGCACAGACACAAGUGAGGACAUUAGAGAGAAAAGUGCUCAUAAAUUUAAAGAGAUUAAGAGAAUUAUAGCCAUUUUGAUAACUGUAAGAAAUACAGUGAGAUUGUAAGAACAGUGUUGAAGUAGUUUAGCCUGCACUUAGGUGCCAGAAUGUCUGUGCAUAAGCUUUGCAGUCAUUAUUUCUUUUUGCUGUCCACAGCUAAUGCUUACAAAGUCCAGCUGUGACAAAAUUCUCUCCUUUGUUUAAUGACAUCUAGACAAAUUCCUGGAAGGAGAUGAAUUUGAAUGUGAAUUUAACAUCUGUUGAAGAUGAGGAAAAGAGUCAGUCAGCCUAAAACAUGGAGUAGUUUUAUAGGCAAAAUUAAAAGCAUAGAAUGGAAAGCAUGACUGUACAAGGGUUCACACCCUCCAGUGAGAGUGAAAGAUGAUGCAGACCUAUUAAUGCUCGAGAGGAUAUCCAGUUGGUUGUGAGUGGGUUUCUCACUCAGCUCCAGCACUGUGGCCCAGACCUCCAGUUACGUCUGUAGCCCUACGGCUUUGCAUAGCUGUUCUCAGAGGAGGGUAGGUUUUAAAAGCAGUACAGAUUCCCUAGCUCUCAAAGCGGAUAGGCUCAGCUGGAGAACACUGCCAUGAUGGCACACAGGCUGCACCCAACAUUGUGCCAAGUCACUCUCCAUUUGUAAAUACUAGAAUGUGCUGUAGUUAGAAAUACAGCAAAAGAAAAGUCUAAAUUGUAUGGCUGAGAAACAACAAAGGAAAACAAAUGUAAACCAGAAAACAGCGCACGCAAAGCCAUCCGUGCUGUAGGUCUGUGGUCUUGCUAUUGCACAGUAAAGAAAAUAAAUACCAACAAGAACAGCCGCUCAGUUGUACGAUUCUCAUGUUUUCUAAAAGCAUGUUGUUGCUUCACCCAAACCUGUAUAUCCUGACUGCAUUUCCUUCUGUGAACGCUUACAUGGGAAACGUGUAGAUACGUUAUUUGACAUACACACUGUAGUAUUAGCUCGAAGGGAAUAAAGAUGGUCAUUAGCAAAAGGCAGUGAUUAAGAAAAAAAUAGCAAGUCCACCUAAAGAGAACUGUAUUGGGGCAUUUAUGGGUAGCACAGCAGUAAGAGCAGAGCUUGUGGUCCCUGCACCCAUACACAGCCACACAUGGAGAAGGCCUCCAGAGAGACUGCAGGGAGGCACCUGGUGCUGGGCAGGAAGCAGGAAGUCCUUUCUGUUAGUCAAGGAAUUUAGCUUGCUCUGCUGUGCUCCUGCGGAGCUUUGUUGAGGAGUUGGUGCUACCUCGGCCCAGUGACUGCAGGUCCCAGGGAAACGCUGCUCCUGGCAUCCCCCUCACCAGUGAAGUAAA
rnacentral:lncRNA from 1 species